UUAAAAGAAUCCAAAGUUUUUAUCUCUUCAAAUUCAAUUAACAUCCCGGCUGUUAAUUACAUGAAAGUAUUAGAUGGAAACGUAGACGACGAUAACUGUUUGUCGAUAAAUCAGUCUGGUCGACAAAUAAUCUGGAAAUCAAUAUUUAAUUGGCCAAGAAUAAUUAAGCGAAUUCUGAUAUAUACCAGUGAAACCUCGACGCCACAGAUGGAACAUUUUAAAGUUGAACUCUACGAUUAUAACGAUUUGAUAGCUUUUACAAAAGAAAUUGACAGCGUUUCUGUCCUUCACACAAUCUACGUUGAGAAUAGUCGAAAGAUCAUGAAGUUAGCCUUAAGUACCAAUGAUUCGCUUUCGCUAUGUGAAAUACAAGCGUUUGGAGAGUGUUCGAGAAGGAGAUACGGUGUGACAUGUGAUUACGUGUGUAGUAUGACAUGUGUUGAACAGGAUUGUCAGAUUACCGGCCGC